CGGGAACCUGACGGAGCAAGACCGCGUCGGGGGAAGAAGGCGCUUUGGGUUGUAAAACCCCGUUUUCUCUUGGGAAGAAAGUUGUGAAAGCAACCUGACGGUACCAGAGGAAUCAGCAUCGGCUAACUCCGUGCCAGCAGCCGCGGUAAGACGGAGGAUGCAAGCGUUAUCCGGAAUGAUUGGGCGUAAAGCGUCCGCAGGUGGCAGUUCAAGUCUGCUGUCAAAGACCGGGGCUUAACUUCGGAAAGGCAGUGGAAACUGAACAGCUAGAGUAUGGUAGGGGCAGAGGGAAUUCCUGGUGUAGCGGUGAAAUGCGUAGAGAUCAGGAAGAACAUCGGUGGCGAAGGCGCUCUGCUGGACCAUAACUGACACUCAGGGACGAAAGCUAGGGGAGCGAAUGGGAUUAGAUACCCCAGUAGUCCUAGCCGUAAACGAUGGAUACUAGGUGUUGUCUGUAUCGACCCGGACAGUGCCGUAGCUAACGCGUUAAGUAUCCCGCCUGGGGAGUACGCACGCAAGUGUGAAACUCAAAGGAAUUGACGGGGGCCCGCACAAGCGGU
rnacentral:rRNA from 1 species